GGAGGCGGCGAGCGUUGUUCGGAAUUACUGGGCGUAAAGAGCGUGUAGGCGGUUGAACAAGUCAGAUGUGAAAUCCCUCGGGCUCAACCGAGGAAGUGCAUUUGAAACUGCUCAGCUUGAGUACGGGAGAGGAGAGCGGAAUUCCCGGUGUAGAGGUGAAAUUCGUAGAUAUCGGGAGGAACACCAGUGGCGAAGGCGGUUUUCUGGCCCGAUACUGACGCUGAGACGCGAAAGCGUGGGUAGCAAACAGGAUUAGAUACCCUGGUAGUCCACGCUGUAAACGAUGAGAACUAGCUGUUGGGGAGCGAAGACUUUUCAGUAGCGUAGCUAACGCACUAAGUUCUCCGCCUGGGGACUACGGCCGCAAGGCUA
rnacentral:rRNA from 1 species